GGUUAUUUAACUAAAGAGUAAUGAUCCUAUGAGACCCUCCCACACCCAUGUGUAUAGGACCCCAAAGGAUCACCAUUAAAUUUGGCACAGAUCUCUAGAAAAGUCAAAUCUUACACCCAUGUGAUAAUUUUUCUAGAGAUCUGUGCCAAAUUUAAUAGUGAUCCUUUGGGAUCCUACACACAUGGGUGUGGACGGGUCUCAUAGGAUCAUUACUCUUAACUAAAAACAUAAAGCUAGCC
rnacentral:pre_miRNA from 1 species